ACUUCGGUGGAUUUGAUCUAUUUCUAGUGGCGGACGGGUGAGUAACGCGUGGGUAACCUGCCUUAUACAGGGGGAUAACAGUCAGAAAUGGCUGCUAAUACCGCAUAAGCGCACAGAGCUGCAUGGCUCAGUGUGAAAAACUCCGGUGGUAUAAGAUGGACCCGCGUUGGAUUAGCUAGUUGGUGGGGUAACGGCCCACCAAGGCGACGAUCCAUUGCCGGCCUGAGAGGGUGAACGGCCACAUUGGGACUGAGACACGGCCCAGACUCCUACGGGAGGCAGCAGUGGGGAAUAUUGCACAAUGGGGGAAACCCUGAUGCAGCGACGCCGCGUGAAGGAAGAAGUAUCUCGGUAUGUAAACUUCUAUCAGCAGGGAAGAUAGUGACGGUACCUGACUAAGAAGCCCCGGCUAACUACGUGCCAGCAGCCGCGGUAAUACGUAGGGGGCAAGCGUUAUCCGGAUUUACUGGGUGUAAAGGGAGCGUAGACGGUGUGGCAAGUCUGAUGUGAAAGGCAUGGGCUCAACCUGUGGACUGCAUUGGAAACUGUCAUACUUGAGUGCCGGAGGGGUAAGCGGAAUUCCUAGUGUAGCGGUGAAAUGCGUAGAUAUUAGGAGGAACACCAGUGGCGAAGGCG
rnacentral:rRNA from 1 species